AAGCUCCGAAAUUUCCAAGUUAAGGCCUCGAAAUCCCGAUACAAGAAAGUUCGAGUGUCUUAAAAUUCCAAAAUCUCGAAGUUUAAACGGCUAUAACCAAAAUUGCAGGUUCGAGACGCGGUCCAUCGUAGUUUAGACGUUAGCGAUGGACAAGUAGGCAGUAAACCUGCGACAGCGUACAAAGAACGUGGGUUGAUGGAAAAGAGAGAAGACAGUGUUCAAGAAGCAGAAGAGAAAGGAGGCGGAGAAAGAAAGGAAGAGAUAAGAAGAGAAAGAAAGGGCGAAGGGUGAGAGGAAGGAAGAAAGGAAAAAACGAGAAGCAUUGGCAAUGCAGUGAUACGCAGUGGCAGCAGUGGCGCCGAAAAUGCAAUGCGGUGCGCCGGAACGACGGCGUCGGCGUCGGGCGUGGCGGAUAACUGACCUCGACUCGUCUAGCCCGGCCGCCCCUCGCGUCGCACCGUUUCCCAACGCUCUUAGGCUGCGUUCACACUCUUCUGCUCGCUUCUGCAUUUUCUUCUCAACAUCAAUUUGACCAAUUCGAUCAUUAUUUAAAUUUUCAUUUGUUACUUAUUGUCAUGGCAAUUAGAAUUUUUGUGACGUUAAAAAUUACCUUAUACGGUAAUUUGACUUGUAACUAGACCGUGGAUGGACAUCAAAGUCUAUGAAAUAAAAAUAAACCAUGUUAUCUGUAGAUUGCAGUUCUCCAUGUAGAUUACAUGGUAUAUUUAUACUUUGCAGACCUCGGUGUAUCUGUCAGUUCUUUAUGUAACUGCACAAACAUUCGCAAUUAUGACUGUAAAAAGCGGAAUCGAACGUCACGACGUUCUACGACAACACAUUGUUUGCUUAAUAACGCUAGCCAAAAAAAAAAUGAAUGGCAAAGUGUUUAUCUUGUUAUCCAGACAGAAGUUAAAUAGCUUAAGUAUUUUUGGAAGUAUUUUAGUGUUAUUAGUUAUUGUAAUGGGCAUUUCCAGUAAGGUGUAAGGUCUAAAGCAAGGUGAACGAUGCCUUAGGUCUAUCCCUCUGAUGCAGCAUCGUGCCAGUGAGCCCCCACUAUUCGCGACGUCGAAUACUACCACUACGCGCCACCACUGGUAACUUCUUUACUCUAGCACACGUUACCGUCUCUCUUUCUCCCUCGAAAGCUUUCGUUCUUGUCCUACGGUCAAAUGGUCGCGUUACCCCUCCAACGACGACCUUACUCCCUCUACACCUGCCUUACACCCGCUCCCCACCCCUUCGUUCCUCUCGUAUCGUCACUGUUCGAUUCUUCUCUCCUCUGCUCUCCCGUCUGCUCUUCUCGUCUCGUCGCGGCCUUCCGCGCCCCUGGCAGAUCGGCAGACAGCAGUCUGACUGUCUGGUUGCCCGGCAACGCGCCACUACCCGUCGCCGUUGACGUCGCCGUCGCCGUCGAUGAGAGAGGGUGAAUUCAGCGAUAGUUACGUGCCGCAUGCUGCACGAGCAAAUGCUACCAAGAGAUACCGAUCAAAAAUUGGCUAAAUUCCUUGUCUUUCCAUGCUACGGGAGAUGUAAGUUCCUUGCGAUUAGAAAACCUACGAGGAUCUUAGAGAAAUGCUAGAGAAAACUCGAGACAACUUAGACACCGAAUCAAAUCGUUUACCGAACACUGUUUCCUAAUCGAUUAACGAAACAUGUGUUAUCUAAAUCAUUGACGUGCCCAUCAAAUUUUCCCUCAUUGUCACUUUCCGUUUAAAAGCUUACUUCGAAAUACGGGUCAUAAAUUUUACUUUAUUUAUGACUACCGAUGAAGGUUUAGCUUUGUUUCGAUUUUGGAAAAUAAGUGACAAUGGAGAUUUGCAAUCAGUGAAAAUAUCAAUGUGGACGUUGUCAUUAUUCUUCAUUUAUUACUUAUACCUAAAGGAAAAAUCGUAUUGUUUCGAGCACAAGGUAUGCCGGUAGAACAGUUCAGGUAUAACUAGGUACUGAUAUUAUCUACGAGAUAUACGAAAGCAAUGGUUCGUGUCAUUGUUUGAGUCGAAACUAAGAUUUUCAGGAAUCUAUUCUUCGAAAUUUCUCCAAGGAACGGUAUCUUCCGAAGAAUAAAAGAACAAUGCCGAAGGUAGUAAGGAACGAACGUGUACACAGUUAUAAAGCUAUUAAACGUCUUUGUCUCUUGCUUUUACCUUUUAUUUUAUAAAAGAUCGAUAUUUCUAAUGUAUUUAUACCUUCCCUUGGACAACAAUACACCCCGGGUCCAGGCAACAGAAAAUGUCUGAUACAAAAAAUUUGAUUGUAUUUUAAUCGGUUGAUUACGAGACAACAAAAAUGUAUAGACUGACUAGUUAACUUGGUUAUACGUUGCAACAACAUUCCUUUGUUAGAUACCAAUUCCUUAGCCAAUAAGGUUCGGCUGUGUGACUCAUAACACAACUGCUCAGUGACUCAGACCCUGAGAUUGCCAGCAAUGUCUUGAGACGUGGCAUCCGAAUCUAAAUCAUGAGUGAUGCUAAGACCUCCAAAUACCUAAGACUUUGGCACCCUGGGACUUGAAAUUUUCAAAUUUCCUCGCUUUCGGGCUUUGGAAAAUACUGCGUUAUAAGCGGAUGGGUUGCGAAAAUUUAUUUUCGUUUAUAAAUGUUUUUGGAAAGACCUGCUAUAAAAGAUGCGACAAAAUGUUGUAUGCGCGAAUCAAUGGUUUAAAUAUGUCUCUAGUGAAUUUCGCGAAACUAAUAAAAAUGUUUAUAUCCUAUAAAAGACUUUAUGAUUGUAGAGAUGUAUAAAAAAAAAAUAUGAAAUUGAGUACGGCACUAAUUCAACAAUUAUGCAUGACUAAGUUAUUAUUAAUCGCUGGCUGCGAUGGUCAUUGACUGAAAUGGCUGUGAAUCAACUUAUCUAUGGAAUGCUUCUGUUAUGCGUCGUGUCGCGUUGCAUUCUUCUGACGUUGGUUACAAAACACGUGUUAUUCCUGUAAGAUUAAACAUUCAUUCUUUUAAGUAAAAAAUAUUAUUUUAUUUGGAAUAUGUCAAAAAUUUGUUAUUAUAAAGCGAAACGUUAGCAUAAAUGCUAAAGUAAUGCUAAUCGUCAAAAUAUCCUUAUACAGUUCAAUUAUUUUCAAUCUUAAAUAAACGAUGUUCUUACCAACAGUAAUGCUUAUUUUCAUUAAUGCCUUAUCUGUACAUUAACAAUUCACAAGAAUUUAAUGACCUUAUAAUAUGUAAAUUAUUUGUACAAGUUAACUAUCAUAUAAAAUGAGUAUGUUUUUUAUAUUCGAAUUUCAUUGCAUAAACGAGCGUGUAUCUUUGUUGGAUUCGCUAUUAUACUCUCUUCAUUUACAUAUACAGAUGUUGUAAUGUCAUUUAAAUUAUGGUAUAUGGUUACAGAUAUAUGUAUGUGUGUAUGUAUAUACACGACAAGACACAAAUUGACUGAAAUAUUAACAAUGUUUAAGACUAUUAAACAUUUCAUUUUUUAUGUAUUAUUCAUACAGUAAAACGUUAGACGUGUACAUUCUGUCUCGCUUAUAUCUUUGUAAUAUAUCACAUCAUACUAAUCUUAAAUAUGAUCUAAAUAUAUAUAAAAUUAUAAUUUUCGUGACGUGUGAAAAAAAUACAGAAGUGAGAAUAAAUUGUACAUAUUAUUCAAUAAAAUUCAUGCAUAUGUUCCAUUUCUUUAAUAUGCAUAUACAACUGAUUUAUAUUACGUGUAUUUGUAUUUAUUUAGGUGUUCAUUAAAAUUUUUCUUCUACAAAUUCCUUUGCUCUCCAUAUUAUUAGUCGUAUAAGAUAAAAUGUUCAUAGUCAAAGAUUUUUUCAACGAAACAAACAUAAUUAUAAAAUAAUGUUUUGCAACUUAAUAUAUUUUAACGAGUGAAAAAUUGAAUGACACACAUUUUCUAUGUUACAAAACAAUUUCGUUUCUUCGUAAUCUUAUUUUUAUAAAUAAGAUGGAAAGCACAAAGGUGUAUAAUCUGAUAUUUUAAUGUUUACUACCUACACCUUAUCUACAAAGCAUGUAUAGUAUCAAAUAAUUGUAAACGGCUGACUAGACACAUACCUACUGUGUAAUAGGUAAUUCGGAUGUUAUUGUAUAUUACUAUCAGAUCGUCAAGCAUUACGAGAAACGCAUACAACAAAACUAUGCUAAUGACCGUAGAUAACUGAAAAGUGAAUGGAAUAUAAAAAAGUUCUACGCUUAAUAUAUUUGUAUGAAAAAAUGUCUGUGCUAAAAAAAAAA